AUUGAACGCUGGCGGCAGGCCUAACACAUGCAAGUCGCACGAGUGGCGGACGGGUGAGUAAUGUCUGGGAAACUGCCAGAUGGAGGGGGAUAAAUACGGGAAACGGUAGCUAAUACCGCAUACCAUCGGAUGUGCCCAGAUGGGAUUAGCUAGUAGGUGGGGUAACGGCUCACCUAGGCGACGAUCCCUAGCUGGGCUGAGAGGAUGACCAGCCACACGGUAACUGAGACACGGUCCAGACUCCUACGGGAGGUAGUAGUGGGGAAUAUUGCACAAUGGGCGAAAGCCUGAUGCAGCCAUGCCGCGUGUAUGAAGAAGGCCUUCGGGUUGUAAAGUAAUUUCAGCGGGGAGGCGUUACCCGCAGAAGAAGCACCGGCUAACUCCGUGCCAGCAGCCGCGGUAAUAC
rnacentral:rRNA from 1 species